rnacentral:lncRNA from 1 species
UGGAAAGCCUUAAUACGUGGGACAUUUUCUCCAAGGAGAUCACGAGGAGGGUACUACUGAUGACCUGAAGCUGGCUUGCAGAGACAAAGCAUAUGUUGUUCAGCUAUCUUCUGUUUUUAAAGGACAGCUUGCAAAAUUCUUUCAUUUAAAUCUGGGUAGGAACUCAUUUAUUUUGAAGGUUUUUUUCUAACUCAGCUAAGACCAAGGAUCAACAAACAUCCCAAGAAAGGACUGUCCUAGGCAUUUCCAGGCUAAAAUUUAUCCAAGGGGCAUUACGUAAGUUUGCAUCCUCCACACCAAGAUGACUUUCUAAGUAACAUUUUU